rnacentral:rRNA from 1 species
GAAAGAACAUGCUCCCCACUAAUACGCCCGGGGGGUAUGACGGGUACCCGGAAAAAAUAAGCCACCGGCUUAACUUAUGUGCCAGCAGCCGCGGUAANNCNUUAGGGUGCAAAGCGUUAAUCGGAAUUACUGGGCGUAAAGCGNGCGCAGGCGGUUGUUUAAGACNGAUGUGAAAUCCCCGGGCUUAACCUGGGAACUGCAUUUGANACUGCNCGGCUAGAGUGCGGAAGAGGGGAGUGGAAUUCCCCGUGUAGCAGUGAAAUGCGUAGAUAUGCGGAGGAACACCGAUGGCGAAGGCAGNUCCCUGGGCNUGCACUGACGCUGAUGCACGAAAGCGUGGGGAGCAAACAGGAUUAGAUACCCUGGUAGUCCACGCCCUAAACGAUG